rnacentral:rRNA from 1 species
UGGGGAAUAUUGCACAAUGGGCGCAAGCCUGAUGCAGCCAUGCCGCGUGUGUGAAGAAGGCCUUCGGGUUGUAAAGCACUUUCAGCGAGGAGGAAGGUGGUGAGCUUAAUACGCUCAUCAAUUGACGUUACUCGCAGAAGAAGCACCGGCUAACUCCGUGCCAGCAGCCGCGGUAAUACGGAGGGUGCAAGCGUUAAUCGGAAUUACUGGGCGUAAAGCGCACGCAGGCGGUUUGUUAAGUCAGAUGUGAAAUCCCCGGGCUCAACCUGGGAACUGCAUUUGAAACUGGCAAGCUAGAGUCUCGUAGAGGGGGGUAGAAUUCCAGGUGUAGCGGUGAAAUGCGUAGAGAUCUGGAGGAAUACCGGUGGCGAAGGCGGCCCCCCUGGACGAAGACUGACGCUCAGGUGCGAAAGCGUGGGGCAGCAAACAGGAUUAGAUACCCUGGUAGUCCACGCUGUAAACGAUGUCGACUUUGGAGGUUGUGCCCUUGAGGCGUGGCUUCCGGAGCUAACGCGUUAAAGUCGACCGCCUGGGGGAG